GAUGAACGCUGGCGGCGUGCCUAAUACAUGCAAGUAGAACGCUGAAGCUUGGUGCUUGCACCGAGCGGAUGAGUUGCGAACGGGUGAGUAACGCGUAGGUAACCUGCCUGGUAGCGGGGGAUAACUAUUGGAAACGAUAGCUAAUACCGCAUGACAACAGUUAUUGCAUGAUAGCUGUUUAAAAGGGGCAAUUGCUCCACUACCAGAUGGACCUGCGUUGUAUUAGCUAGUUGGUGAGGUAACGGCUCACCAAGGCGACGAUACAUAGCCGACCUGAGAGGGUGAUCGGCCACACUGGGACUGAGACACGGCCCAGACUCCUACGGGAGGCAGCAGUAGGGAAUCUUCGGCAAUGGACGGAAGUCUGACCGAGCAACGCCGCGUGAGUGAAGAAGGUUUUCGGAUCGUAAAGCUCUGUUGUAAGAGAAGAACGAGUGUGAGAGUGGAAAGUUCACACUGUGACGGUAUCUUACCAGAAAGGGACGGCUAACUACGUGCCAGCAGCCGCGGUAAUACGUAGGUCCCGAGCGUUGUCCGGAUUUAUUGGGCGUAAAGCGAGCGCAGGCGGUUAGAUAAGUCUGAAGUUAAAGGCUGUGGCUUAACCAUAGUACGCUUUGGAAACUGUUUAACUUGAGUGCAAGAGGGGAGAGUGGAAUUCCAUGUGUAGCGGUGAAAUGCGUAGAUAUAUGGAGGAACACCGGUGGCGAAAGCGGCUCUCUGGCUUGUAACUGACGCUGAGGCUCGAAAGCGUGGGGAGCAAACAGG
rnacentral:rRNA from 1 species